rnacentral:rRNA from 1 species
GAACGCUGGCGGCGUGCCUAACACAUGCAAGUCGAGCGAAUGAAGUUCCUUCGGGAACGGAUUUAGCGGCGGACGGGUGAGUAACACGUGGGCAACCUACCUCAUAGAGGGGAAUAGCCUUCCGAAAGGGAGAUUAAUACCGCAUAAGAUUGUAGUACCGCAUGGUACAGCAAUUAAAGGAGCAAUCCGCUAUGAGAUGGGCCCGCGGCGCAUUAGCUAGUUGGUGAGGUAACGGCUCACCAAGGCGACGAUGCGUAGCCGGCCUGAGAGGGUGAUCGGCCACAUUGGGACUGAGACACGGCCCAGACUCCUACGGGAGGCAGCAGUGGGGAAUAUUGCACAAUGGGGGAAACCCUGAUGCAGCAACGCCGCGUGAGUGAUGACGGCCUUCGGAUUGUAAAGCUCUGUCUUCAGGGACGAUAAUGACGGUACCUGAGGAGGAAGCCACGGCUAACUACGUG